rnacentral:pre_miRNA from 1 species
CGGAUGUGUAGACAUUAAUUUAGAGUAUUAAACAUAGACUAAUAAAAAANAAUUAGUAUUUUUAUUGCUAUUAGAUGAUAAAACAUGAAUAGUAUUUUAUGUAUGACUAAAUUUUUUUAAUUUUUUUAAAUAAGAUGCAUGGACAGUCAAACGUUGGACACGGAUAUCCACGGCUGCACUUAUU